UACGUAGGGUGCGAGCGUUGUCCGGAAUUACUGGGCGUAAAGAGCUCGUAGGCGGUUUGUCGCGUCUGCCGUGAAAGUCCGGGGCUCAACUCCGGAUCUGCGGUGGGUACGGGGCAGACUAGAGUGAUGUAGGGGAGACUGGAAUUCCUGGUGUAGCGGUGAAAUGCGCAGAUAUCAGGAGGAACACCGGUGGCGAAGGC
rnacentral:rRNA from 1 species